UACGGGGGGGGCAAGCGUUGUUCGGAAUUACUGGGCGUAAAGGGCUCGUAGGCGGCCAACUAAGUCAGACGUGAAAUCCCUCGGCUUAACCGGGGAACUGCGUCUGAUACUGGAUGGCUUGAGUUUGGGAGAGGGAUGCGGAAUUCCAGGUGUAGCGGUGAAAUGCGUAGAUAUCUGGAGGAACACCGGUGGCGGAGGCGGCAUCCUGGACCAACACUGACGCUGAGUGAGCGAAAGCCAGGGGAGCAAACGGG
rnacentral:rRNA from 1 species